UACGUAGGGGGCAAGCGUUGUCCGGAUUUAUUGGGCGUAAAGAGCGUGUAGGCGGCCAUACAGGUCAGCUGUGAAAACUCGAGGCUCAACCUCGAGACGUCGGUUGAAACCGUAUGGCUAGAGUCCGGAAGAGGAGAGUGGAAUUCCCGGUGUAGCGGUGAAAUGCGCAGAUAUCGGGAAGAACACCCGUGGCGAAGGCGGCUCUCUGGGACGGUACUGGACGCUGAGACGCGAAAAGCGUGGGGGAGCGAACAGG
rnacentral:rRNA from 1 species